ACUGCAUCUCUUGAGUAUGGUUGAGGUAGGCGGAAUGUGUUGUGUAGCGGUGAAAUGCAUAGAUAUGACACAGAACGCCGACUGCGAAGGCAGCUUACUAAGCCAUUACUGACGCUGAGGCACGAAAGCGUGGGGAGCGAACAGGAUUAGAUACCCUGGUGGUCCACGCCGUAAACGAUGUUCACUCGCUGUUUGCGAUACACAGCAAGCGGCUAAGCGAAAGCAUUAAGUGAACCACCUGGGGAGUACGAUCGCAAGGUUGAAACUCAAAGGAAGUGACGGGGGCCCGCACAAGCGGAGGAACAUGUGGUUUAAUUCGAUGAUACGCGAGGAACCUUACCUGGGCUUAAAUGUAGAUUGCAUAGAGUAGAAAUAUUCUUUUCCUUCGGGACUAUUUACAAGGUGCUGCAUGGUUGUCGUCAGCUCGUGCCGUGAGGUGUCGGGUUAAGUCCCAUAACGAGCGCAACCCCUAUCGUUAGUUGCCAGCGGAUAAUGCCGGGGACUCUAGCGAGACAGCCACCGUAAGGUGAGAGGAAGGUGGGGAUGACGUCAAAUCAGCACGGCCCUUAUGUCCAGGGCUACACACGUGUUACAAUGGCCGAUACAAAGGGCAGCUACCAGGUGACUGGAUGCUAAUCUCUAAAGUCGGUCCCAGUUCGGAUUGGAGUCUGCAACCCGACUCCAUGAAGUUGGAUUCGCUAGUAAUCGGAUAUCAGCAAUGAUCCGGUGAAUACGUUCCCGGGCCUUGUACACACCGCCCGUCAAACCAUGGAAGCUGGGGGUACCUGAAGUCUGUGACCGUAAGGAGCGGCCUAGGGUAAAACUAGUAACUAGGGUUAAGUCGUAACAAGGUAACC
rnacentral:rRNA from 1 species